rnacentral:rRNA from 1 species
GUGGGGAAUAUUGCACAAUGGGGGAAACCCUGAUGCAGCGACGCCGCGUGAGUGAAGAAGUAUUUCGGUAUGUAAAGCUCUAUCAGCAGGGAAGAAAAUGACGGUACCUGACUAAGAAGCUCCGGCUAAAUACGUGCCAGCAGCCGCGGUAAUACGUAUGGAGCAAGCGUUAUCCGGAUUUACUGGGUGUAAAGGGUGCGUAGGCGGCAGGGCAAGUCAGAUGUGAAAGCCCGGGGCUCAACCCCGGUAGUGCAUUUGAAACUGCUUUGCUGGAGUACGGGAGAGGUAAGCGGAAUUCCUAGUGUAGCGGUGAAAUGCGUAGAUAUUAGGAGGAACACCAGUGGCGAAGGCGGCUUACUGGACCGUAACUGACGCUGAGGCACGAAAGCGUGGGGAGCAAACAGGAUUAGAAACCCUAGUAGUCC